CACGUAGGGGCCAAGCGUUGUCCGGAUUUAUUGGGCGUAAAGAGCUCGUAGGCGGUUCAGUCAGUUGGGUGUGAAAACUCCGGGCUUAACUCGGAGAGGCCACCCAAUACUGCUGUGACUUGAGUCCGGUAGGGGAGUGGGGAAUUCCUGGUGUAGCGGUGAAAUGCGUAGAUAUUGGGAGGAACACCAGUGGCGAAGGCGGCUCACUGGACCGGAACUGACGCUGAGGCGCGAAAGCGUGGGGAGCAAACGGG
rnacentral:rRNA from 1 species